rnacentral:rRNA from 1 species
GAUGAACGCUGGCGGCGUGCCUAAUACAUGCAAGUCGAGCGAACAGACGAGGAGCUUGCUCCUCUGACGUUAGCGGCGGACGGGUGAGUAACACGUGGAUAACCUACCUAUAAGACUGGGAUAACUUCGGGAAACCGGAGCUAAUACCGGAUAACAUGUUGAACCGCAUGGUUCAACAGUGAAAGACGGUCUUGCUGUCACUUAUAGAUGGAUCCGCGCCGCAUUAGCUAGUUGGUAAGGUAACGGCUUACCAAGGCAACGAUGCGUAGCCGACCUGAGAGGGUGAUCGGCCACACUGGAACUGAGACACGGUCCAGACUCCUACGGGAGGCAGCAGUAGGGAAUCUUCCGCAAUGGGCGAAAUCCUGACGGAGCAACGCCGCGUGAGUGAAGAAGGUCUUCGGAUCGUAAAACUCUGUUAUUAGGGAAGAACAAAUGUGUAAGUAACUUUGCACGUCUUGACGGUACCUAAUCAGAAAGCCACGGCUAACUACGUG